AUACGUAGGUGACAAGCGUUAUCCGGAUUUACUGGGCGUAAAGGGCGUGUAGGCGGUCUUGCAAGUCAGAAGUGAAAUUCCUGAGCUCAACUCGGGCGCUGCUUCUGAAACUGCAGGACUUGAGUGCUGGAGGGGAUAGCGGAAUUCCUAGUGGAGCGGUAAAAUGCGCAGAUAUUAGGAAGAACACCGGUGGCGAAGGCGGCUAUCUGGACAGUAACUGACGCUGAGGCGCGAAAGCGUGGGGAGCAAACAGGAUUAGAUACCCUGGUAGUCCACGCCGUAAACGAUGAGUACUAGGUGUAGGGGGUAUCGACUCCCUCUGUGCCGCAGUUAACACAAUAAGUAUUCCGCCUGGGGAGUACGGCCGCAAGGUUGAAACUCAAAUGAAUUGACGGGG
rnacentral:rRNA from 1 species